GAAACCUGCCCCAGAAGCGGGGGAUAACACCUGGAAACAGAUGCUAAUACCGCAUAACAACUUGGACCGCAGGGUCCGAGCUUGAAAGAUGGCUUCGGCUAUCACUUUUGGAUGGUCCCGCGGCGUAUUAGCUAGAUGGUGGGGUAACGGCUCACCAUGGCAAUGAUACGUAGCCGACCUGAGAGGGUAAUCGGCCACAUUGGGACUGAGACACGGCCCAAACUCCUACGGGAGGCAGCAGUAGGGAAUCUUCCACAAUGGACGAAAGUCUGAUGGAGCAACGCCGCGUGAGUGAAGAAGGGUUUCGGCUCGUAAAACUCUGUUGUUAAAGAAGAACAUAUCUGAGAGUAACUGUUCAGGUAUUGACGGUAUUUAACCAGAAAGCCACGGCUAACUACGUGCCAGCAGCCGCGGUAAUACGUAGGUGGCAAGCGUUGUCCGGAUUUAUUGGGCGUAAAGCGAGCGCAGGCGGUUUUUUAAGUCUGAUGUGAAAGCCUUCGGCUCAACCGAAGAAGUGCAUCGGAAACUGGGAAACUUGAGUGCAGAAGAGGAUCAGUGGAACUCCAUGUGUAGCGGUGAAAUGCGUAGAUAUAUGGAAGAACACCAGUGGCGAAGGCGGCUGUCUGGUCUGUAACUGACGCUGAGGCUCGAAAGUAUGGGUAGCAAACAGGAUUAGAUACCCUGGUAGUCCAUACCGUAAACGAUGAAUGCUAAGUGUUGGAGGGUUUCCGCCCUUCAGUGCUGCAGCUAACGCAUUAAGCAUUCCGCCUGGGGAGUACGGCCGCAAGGCUGAAACUCAAAGGAAUUGACGGGGGCCCGCACAAGCUGUGGAGCAUGUGGUUUAAUUCGAAGCUACGCGAAGAACCUUACCAGGUCUUGACUUACUAUGCAAUCCUAAGAGAUUAGACGUUCCCUUCCGGGACAUGGAUACUGGUGGUGCAUGGUUGUCGU
rnacentral:rRNA from 2 species